UACGAAGGGGGCUAGCGUUGUCCGGAAUUAUUGGGCGUAAAGGGCUCGUAGGCGGUUUGUCGCGUCGGGAGUGAAAACCUUGGGCUUAACUCAGGGCUUGCUUUCGAUACGGGCAGACUAGAGGUAUGCAGGGGAGAGCGGAAUUCCUGGUGUAGCGGUGAAAUGCGCAGAUAUCAGGAGGAACACCGGUGGCGAAGGCGGUAUCCUGGACCAUUACUGACACUGAAAAGCGAAAGCCAGGGGAGCAAACGGG
rnacentral:rRNA from 1 species